UGCAUUGUUGAUACAAAAGGAGCUUUUGUGCAUCCAGCAUUGUAUGAGAAUUUCAAACUAACAGUCGUGGAGGCAAUGAGCAGUAGAACCCUAUAAUGGUGAUGAAUUGAGCCACAAGAUUGUUGAUUUCUUUGAAAUGUGAAAGGCGGAUCCUGAAAAUUGGAACAAGAUCUCAAAAGCUAGUCUCUGGCGUAUAAAUAAAUGCUACAUAUGGAAGAUUUAUGCAAACGAGUUGUUGAACAUGGGAGCAGCGUAUGGAUUCUGGUGGCAGAUGAACAAGGAACAAAAGCAAGGAGUUUGCCCACCCAAAGCAAAGAACCCCAACAAGCAACACCAGCUGCGACGUCUAAAGCCUAAACAACCAGCGACAACAUAGACAACUGAAUCCCAGUCCAAACCAAGGCACAUAAGCUAACUAAUAAGAAAAUUUACUGAACAAAAGUUAUUUGAUUUCCUUCCAUGGUUGUAAGUUAUGCGGAAGGGAGCAUAGAAACUAGUUUUCAUGUUUUUUUUAGUGCAAAUUUCUUAUGCAACAAAUGGUCCUUUUAAUUAAAUGGUAAGAGAGGAAAUGCAAUAAAUGGGUAAAUGAGUGAUCACAAUAAAGUGAAAAGGUUGGAAUUAGAGGCGCUUCAUUCUUGAUUCUCUGUCUUUUAAUUUAUUACCUCCCAAUAUGAAACUGUAUCUUUUGUUCAUAUAGCUAAACUGUAUCUCAUUUUCAGUCUUGAUAGAUCAAAACAUAGAGAAAACUUGAGAACUCGGAUGUAUUUCAACGUAUACUUAUCGUAAUGUCUCUGUAUUUUGCUAUGUUUUCUAUAUUUCUAUCCAAUCUAUCUUCAAGCCAAUCAAGUACAAACAUAAAGUAUCAACAGUCCAAUUGUCAUUCUUUAGAGUUUCGAGCCCUCCUCCUCUAAUGAAGAGUUUCUUUAGGCUAUUCAUUUUGCUAGGUACUAGCCAGUCAGGUAUCUUUGUCUCUGGGCAACACCGAAGAUCCAGUUUCUCCAAUUUCUCAGUAAGCUCCAGAAUUUCGUAACUACACUUCGUUGUCGACUUGGAAGCUCAUUAAUUCUGGAGAUCCCUUGAAGGCAAAGAAGCCUUAACUCUUUCUUACUCUUCAACCCUUCAAAGAAUUCAACCCUUUUAAAUCAGGACUUUAACAUUUUUCAUCUUCGAUAACCAUUCCACCACACUUGCUUUUUCUCUUUCUUCUUUGCUAAAAGCUGCAAUUUGAGAUCAGGA